rnacentral:rRNA from 1 species
AUUGAACGCUGGCGGAAUGCUUUACACAUGCAAGUCGAGCGGCAGCGCGGCCUUCGGGCUGGCGGCGAGCGGCGAACGGGUGAGUAAUGCAUCGGAACAUGCCCAGUCGUGGGGGAUAACACUUCGAAAGAAGUGCUAAUACCGCAUACGUCCUGAGGGGGAAAGCGGGGGAUCGCAAGACCUCGCGCGAUUGGAGUGGCCGAUGUCAGAUUAGCUAGUUGGUGGGGUAAAGGCCUACCAAGGCGACGAUCUGUAGCUGGUCUGAGAGGAUGAUCAGCCACACUGGGACUGAGACACGGCCCAGACUCCUACGGGAGGCAGCAGUGGGGAAUGUUGGACAAUGGGGGCAACCCUGAUCCAGCCAUUCCGCGUGAGUGAAGGAGGCCUUCGGGUUGGAAAGCUCUUUCGGCAGGAACGAAACGGUGGGCUCUAACAUAGUCCGCUAAUGACGGUACCUGAAGAAGAAGCACCGGCUAACUACGUG